AACUCGCUCGAGUUCGGCACGAGUUUCACCGCCAUCUUGGAACUGAAAGUGCGAGUGCCGCACUCGAUUUUUUUCUAGUUUCGUGCGAGUUUCUCGCACACCAACAAACGAUGUUUGUAAACAUCGAAAUCAGCUGUUCAUUCAAAACAAGCUUAUUUUGUUGAAGUUUUCGAUUCCUUUGCAUGUGAUUGGUGAACAAAUCGGAAAAUAAUUGUAUUUGGGUGGCUAAGCUCUCUGUGCGAAGCGGAAACCAUCCCGAAGAUGCCAUUUCUGCCAAUGUACGUCAAAAAGGAGUACAAGCGAUGCCGUUUCGGGGAACGAUUUCAUCCGGACGGACGACGACCGGUCGAGAUUCGCAAAAUGGGCAGCUAGGCACCGCGUUCGGUGCACCGCGGUGGUUCUGUCGUUCCUUCCGGCAAAAUGCAAACUGAACAGUGAUUAGAAAUGACAAAGGUACAAGGGCAUCAUCAUGCUCACCAACUCGUCGAGCCGGAAGAAAUGCCUGAGUGGAUGAUCCUGCAAGGGACUGUUGCUGAAUCUGAUGCUGAUGCCAUCAGGACACACCCUAAUUUGGAACCUGGAGAACAUGUUGAUGCUGAACGGGACCCAGAACCGACAGUGUCGCUGAAUUUGAUGCUGGUACCAAUCUGGCACACUACGACCUGGAACCUGAUGGCGAACAAGCUGCCGAGUUGGCCGAGAGUGAAAUCGCGCGCUACGACGCGCUCCAGACCGGAUCGAAGGAUAAUCACGGACAUUCUUGGCAAUUCAAACGAACAGGUGAACCAAUAAAACCAGAGAAAGUGCAACAUUUUGUGUAUUUUGUGAAAUGUAGUGUGUGAUGUUAAUUCAGUAUAAAAAUAGAGAAAUUAAAAUAUUCUACUAGAUACUUGAAAUACUUUGCAAUAAGAAAGCAGACUUUCCCGACGUGGACACAGUCGGGAUGGACCAGUUAAUUAUGGUCCGGGACAAAGCAGUAGGAUGAACGGAAUUAACUUGUCUUAACUGGAUUGAGCGAAGUAUUCAAGUCCGUCUUACGUAGUAUUUCAUGGCAAUACCAA